rnacentral:tRNA from 1 species
GCUAUAAUAGCAAAGAUAGUUAAUGCCGUAGACUUAGGAUCUACUACCAUAGGUGCAAAUCCUUUUUCUAGCU